rnacentral:rRNA from 1 species
CACGUAGGGGGCGAGCGUUGUCCGGAAUCAUUGGGCGUAAAGAGCUCGUAGGCGGUCCGGUAAGUCAGCUGUGAAAGUCAAGGGCUCAACCCUUGAAUGCCGGUUGAUACUGUCGGGCUAGAGUCCGGAAGAGGCGAGUGGAAUUCCCGGUGUAGCGGUGAAAUGCGCAGAUAUCGGGAGGAACACCAAUGGCGAAGGCAGCUCGCUGGGACGGUACUGACGCUGAGACGCGAAAGCUAGGGGAGCGAACAGG